GUAGUAGAGUUAUUCGCAUUGGGCUGAGAAAACUUUCCGCUGUUUGAAUUGCUUUCUGGGAAGACAGAAGGGGAGGGAAGCCCCUGUCGGCUAGAUUCUAGGACCUCAGAGUGUUCUGUAUUCCAUCUAACGGCAUGAGACAAAAGACAAGUUUCUAAAAACAAAUCUGAUCUUUUCAUCUAGUUUAGUUACUUGGAGAUGGGGAACUGGAAUGAAUGAGAAGAAUAGAGUCAGGAUAGAGUAGAGAGGAAAGAAGAGACAGUUCAGAAAGAAGAAAACAUUUGCACUUGUUUGCUUGCGGGGCUUCCAUCUGGAGUCACUAUGCCUUUUGCACUUUCUGAUUGGUUGGAUUGCAAUUAAAUGGUGGUGCCUAUCUUAACCCCUGAAUCAAGCAUUGAAAGACUUUCGAGAUGCACUUUUGAAAGAGUGUUGGAGGGAACUGUAAUGCUGCUGUACUGACCUGCAGAAGGUGGUGUGACUGGAUCUGAAAGGUGGGCACUGUUCCCUCCGGACAGCUGCCAAAGCAAGAAUACAACCAUCAAGCAAAGCGAAAUGAGAGCUCCACACAGGGAAAGCUAAGACAUUUUGAUCUGAACUGUGUUGCCUUCUGCUCUAAGCUCCCUAGAGCUAUCCUUUAACCACUGAACAACUUGGAGAUCAUCUCUGUGAAGCCAGAAGUCUACACAAAGAAGCAGGCACACGUUAUCCCCUCGUAUCCGCUCUACGUGCCUCCUGAGCAUACCUUCACAGCUUUCCUGGAAUCCCAGAUCCUUCUGAUGGCUCCCACGGAGGGACUCUAGCUAACAGGGGAACAGUGGCCAACCAACCUGCAAGAGGCCAACAGCAAUAACAUUGCCAUGGACUUCUCUAGGUGCAGCUGAAGCAGAAUUCUACCAUGUACCAAAGCUCCAUAAUGAAAGAUUACAUUUUGUUAUGAACGUCUUGAUGAUUUUUCUCCCCUCCAGAAGCAUUUCCCAGCUCCCUUGAUCCCAGUUUUAUUAAUUUUAUAAUUAUUUCUGAAUUGAAGGGGUUGGUGGUUGAGGUUGCCAGACUCCUGCUCAGCACAGCUGGAUCUGCAUAAAGAUGAAUUUAGGGAACUAAUAGGUGGGAAGUGUGUGUGUGUGUGUGUGUGUGUGUGUGUGUGUGUGUGUGUGUUUAAGAAUAAGAAGACCUCGGUUCUAUUUUUAGCUCUGUCAUCAGUGACUGCAAGACUUUGAAUUUCAGCUGUAAUAGAGGCAUACAAAUCCCUGAUCUACUUACCUCCCCUGGUUAUUGUAAGAACUAAAUGAAAUGAGGGUGCAAACAAUGCUUUAAAAGAACCGCUGUAAAGUCCUCUACAAGCAGAAGGAGGCUUUAUUGUGUUAGCUGAAAUUCUGCAUAUGGAGGUAAUAACUUCGCCAGGAAAUUUAAAAUGUGUGCUCCACGUGCCAUAUCACAGCAAGCUCACACCUGAACCUCUAAACUCUGAGCAAAGGCGGAUCAACAUUACUGGAAAGCUGGCUUUCAAGCUUUGGUUGUAAUUUUACUGUAGUUGCUUUUCACAAAUAAUAGUGAGAGCUAACAUUAACUGAGCACUUACUCCAUGACAAGCUCUCCACUAAGUGCUUUAUAUGCAAUAACCCAUUUAACCUCACAAAAUCUUAGUACCUCCAGUUUAAAGGUGAGAAAACUGAGGCAAGAGAGGCGGAAUAACUUGUUCAGGGGAUACACACCACAGAGGCACUGAGAUCUGAACCCAGUCCACUGGCUCUAGAAUCUGUGCUCACCACCCCUACAUCAUUUGCCUCUUCCCACAAAAGCCCAUUUCAUGAAGUUGUGCGCGGCACACAGAGAGUACCAGGCACAACACCUGUUGUGGGGCAGAUGCCAAUAAGCUGGAGACAGCAGCAAUGCUGAUCCUGGCAAUAUGGGUCCCAGCUGCCAGGUCCUACACACACAUCUAAACCAACCCACAAGCAAUUGUACAAUCAAAGGUGCUCAGUGACGAAGUUCCCUUUCUUGGAGGAUAACCCGACUUACUUUCUUUGGGUUUGCCAUUGCCCUGAGAGCUCCUGGCAGGACUAUCUGCUUAGAAUGUAUAUAAGUGGCAGGGGACUCUUGAGUGUCCAGAUUCAUCUCGCGAUAAUUACGUCUUAAUGAGGUGGUUCUACAUUCCAAGCUGUCUCCCCUAAGGAGACAUGACCCCUUUCUGUUGGAAACUUUUAGUGACUGUUGAUUAAAGAUAAAUGAGCUCAGAGGCUGGGUUCCAGAAGAAUGAGGAGGGAGGGGGUCUGUUCCACAGGGAUUC